UACGUAGGGUGCGAGCGUUAAUCGGAAUUACUGGGCGUAAAGUGUGCGCAGGCGGCCGAGCAAGUCGAGUGUGAAAGCCCCGGGCUUAACUUGGGAAUUGCGCUCGAAACUACUUGGCUGGAGUGUGGCAGAGGAAGGUGGAAUUCCAGGUGUAGCGGUGAAAUGCGUAGAGAUCUGGAGGAACACCGAUGGCGAAGGCAGCCUUCUGGGCCAACACUGAC
rnacentral:rRNA from 1 species